AAUUUUAAGGUCAAGCUACAAAGGGCGCAUGGUGAAUGCCUUGGCACUAGGAGCCGAAGAAGGACGCGAUAAGCUGCGAUAAGCCUUGGGUAGCCGCAAAUAGGCUGAGAUCCAGGGAUUUCCGAAUGAGGAAACUCACAUGGGUAACCCCAUGUAUCAUGCACUGAAUACAUAGGUGUAUGAGGGUAAACCCGGGGAACUGAAACAUCUAAGUACCCGGAGGAAGAGAAAGAAAAAUCGAUUUCCUAAGUAGCGGCGAGCGAACGGGAAAGAGCCCAAACCAGAAACUUGUUUCUGGGGUUGUGGAUAGAUCAUAAAAGAAGAGGUAUCUUAAUCGAAGAGGGCUGGAACGCCCUACCAUAGAAGGUAAUAGUCCUGUAGAUAAAAAGAGAAAACUUCGAGAUCUAAUCCAGAGUACCACGAGACACGUGAAACCUUGUGGGAAGCAGGGAGGACCACCUCCCAAGGCUAAAUACUACCUAGUGACCGAUAGUGAAGCAGUACCGUGAGGGAAAGGUGAAAAGAACCCCGGAAGGGGAGUGAAAUAGAACCUGAAACCGUGUGCCUACAACCGAUCGGAGCACGUUAAAGUGUGACGAUGUGCUUUUUGUAGAACGAGCCAGCGAGUUACGCUAUGUAGCAAGGUUAAGUACUUAAGGUAUGGAGCCGAAGGGAAACCGAGUCUGAAAAGGGCGA
rnacentral:rRNA from 1 species